UACGUAGGGCGCAAGCGUUGUCCGGAAUUAUUGGGCGUAAAGAGCUCGUAGGCGGCUUGUCACGUCGGGUGUGAAAGCCCGGGGCUUAACCCCGGGUCUGCAUUCGAUACGGGCUAGCUAGAGUGUGGUAGGGGAGAUCGGAAUUCCUGGUGUAGUGGUGAAAUGCGCAGAUAUCAGGAGGAACACCGGUGGCGAAGGCGGAUCUCUGGGCCAUUACUGACGCUGAGGAGCGAAAGCGUGGGGAGCGAACAGG
rnacentral:rRNA from 1 species